rnacentral:rRNA from 1 species
UAGGGGGCAAGCGUUAUCCGGAUUUACUGGGUGUAAAGGGAGCGUAGGCGGCCAUGCAAGUCAGAAGUGAAAGCCCGGGGCCCAACCCCGGGACUGCUUUUGAAACUGUGUGGCUGGAGUGUCGGAGGGGUAAGUGGAAUUCCUAGUGUAGCGGUGAAAUGCGUAGAUAUUAGGAGGAACACCAGUGGCGAAGGCGGCUUACUGGACGAUCACUGACGCUGAGGCUCGAAAGCGUGGGGAGCAAA